UGCAAGUCGAGCGGUAACAGAAAAGAAAGCUUGCUUCUUUUGCUGACGAGCGGCGGACGGGUGAGUAAUGCCUGGGAAUAUACCCUGAUGUGGGGGAUAACUAUUGGAAACGAUAGCUAAUACCGCAUAAUCUCUUCGGAGCAAAGAGGGGGACCUUCGGGCCUCUCGCGUCAGGAUUAGCCCAGGUGGGAUUAGCUAGUUGGUGGGGUAAUGGCUCACCAAGGCGACGAUCCCUAGCUGGUCUGAGAGGAUGAUCAGCCACACUGGAACUGAGACACGGUCCAGACUCCUACGGGAGGCAGCAGUGGGGAAUAUUGCACAAUGGGGGAAACCCUGAUGCAGCCAUGCCGCGUGUAUGAAGAAGGCCUUCGGGUUGUAAAGUACUUUCAGUUGUGAGGAAGGCAGUUAAGUUAAUAGCUUGGCUGUUUGACGUUAGCAACAGAAGAAGCACCGGCUAACUCCGUGCCAGCAGCCGCGGUAAUACGGAGGGUGCGAGCGUUAAUCGGAAUUACUGGGCGUAAAGCGCAUGCAGGCGGUCUGUUAAGCAAGAUGUGAAAGCCCGGGGCUCAACCUCGGAACAGCAUUUUGAACUGGCAGACUAGAGUCUUGUAGAGGGGGGUAGAAUUUCAGGUGUAGCGGUGAAAUGCGUAGAGAUCUGAAGGAAUACCGGUGGCGAAGGCGGCCCCCUGGACAAAGACUGACGCUCAGAUGCGAAAGCGUGGGGAGCAAACAGGAUUAGAUACCCUGGUAGUCCACGCCGUAAACGAUGUCUACUUGAAGGUUGUGGCCUUGAGCCGUGGCUUUCGGAGCUAACGCGUUAAGUAGACCGCCUGGGGAGUACGGUCGCAAGAUUAAAACUCAAAUGAAUUGACGGGGGCCCGCACAAGCGGUGGAGCAUGUGGUUUAAUUCGAUGCAACGCGAAGAACCUUACCUACUCUUGACAUCCAGAGAAUUCGCUAGAGAUAGCUUAGUGCCUUCGGGAACUCUGAGACAGUGCUGCAUGCUGUCGUCAGCUCGUGUUGUGAAUGUUGGGUAGUCCCGCACGAGCGC
rnacentral:rRNA from 1 species